AAUACACCUUUAAAAAUGCAUUUGUUUUUCUUCUAGGAAAAUGCAUGAAAAAUAUUAAUGACUCACUCUGAGCUACGCAGAUUUUUGUUAUCUCAGAUGCUCAACGGUAACCACUCGAGGGCCUUCGGGGUACCAGAGGCCCGGAGGAAGACAGGAUGAAGGACACACUAAUUAAGAACCACGCAAGUCCACGGGACGUUUGCUGCUGUGCUGUGCCUGCUGCCUCUGCGUUUGAUUGUUAUUCAUCUUGAACGCUGCCCGAUGACUUGAAUAUGUGGGCUAAAUAUGUACAUACUAAUGCAGUCUGGGGCGGACAGCAAUCCGACUCAGAUGGGUAUUAUAUAGGUCUAUUUUAACCACUGUAUGUGGCUGAAUGGUUUGCGCGUGGUCUGUUCACACUCAAUGCAUGCCCGGAGGAACAUUUUAUUGCUCAGAGGUUAAGGUUUCAUAGCUUAGGAGUCUUACAGGAGUCUUUUAAGUGUUUAAAAGGAGUUUAUGAGUCGACCUUGCCUUGGAUAUUUUUCAAAAAAUUCCUUAGGAUAGUGUAGUUGGAAACAAAUUAGACAAAUUAGUGUGUGUGUGUGUGUGUGUGUGUGUGUGUGUGUGUGUGUGUGUGUGUGUGUGUGUGUGUGUGUGUGUGUGUUUGGGCAAGUGCUCAGUAAGGUUGCAUUAGUUUGAUCAAAAUUACAGUAAAAACUGAAAUCGUAUGAAGUAUUAUUACAAUUUAAAAUAACUGUUUUGUUAUAUUGAUAUAUUGCAAAAUGUCAUUAUUCCUGUGAUUGCUGAGCAGAGUUUUCAGCAGCCAUUACUCCAGUUUUCAGUGUCAUUGGUUGCUUCAAAAAUUUUAAUAUGCUGAUUUAGUGCUCAGAUAACAUUCCUUAUUAUUAAUAGAGUUAAAAACAUUUGUGCUGCUUAAUAUUUUGGUGGAAACGGUGCAUUAUCUUCAGGAUAAUUAUGAACUGAAAGCUGAAAAGAAUAGCAUUUAUUUAAAAUAGAAAUAUUUUAUUGUCACAUUUGAUCAAUUAAAUGCAUUCAUGCUGAAUAAAAUUAUUGAUGUGAAAAAAAAAAUUAAAAAUAAAUCUUACUCCAAA
ensembl:lncRNA